AAUCCCAAAAUGUUACUGCAGUAAAUAAGGACCAUCACUUAAUUAUUUAAAUUCAACAAUAGCUAGAAUUAUUCAAGCCAAUUAACAUCACACCAUAUACUUGAAUAAUUAGAUCCUAAACAUCUCAAGAUACCAACAAAAGUCCUAAUAUAUGUAGAUUCUACUACACCGCGAUUGCAGAGAAGUAUUUCACCAACUGUUGUGUAUCGGACAACACUCAAGCAGCUUGAUCCAAUUCCAACUUCCAAGACACAUAAACCAUCCUAACCACUGCAAAAACACAGGUGCAGAUGAGCAUGACAGCCGAAGAAUGACACAAUAAAAACAACCGAGCAGACCAGCUACAAAAUCUCAUUAACCUUCCAUUAAUCUAGGACAGAAUGACAUAGUAAGAUUCAAGCAAGUUGAGUUUCAAAACAUAUAUUAGGAUUAACCAGUAUCUUAUAGGAGCUUUUCUCUAUAUUGGAAGCAUAGAGUAUGUAUGGUCAUUUUUAUUCACAUAAAGAAUAAGCUGUGUAUCAUAGAUAUUAAUUAAAAUGCUUGAAUUGCCUGAUAUUUGAACUUGACAAAAUAAAACUUAUUCAAUAGUUGUUGUAAAUUGGAAAUUUAUCUAAUACACAUGGUCAUGGUUUUUCUUUGUAUUGUAUGUGUGAGAGAGACAAAAAGAAAAUAACUUUACCUCUAAUUUUGCAUUUCUACUACCAAAUGAAGCCAUGACAUAUUGUUAAAGCUUAGUUCAGCUUAACACUACCU
rnacentral:lncRNA from 1 species